rnacentral:rRNA from 1 species
GUCCACACCGUAAACGAUGAUUACUAGGUGUUGGAGGAUUGACCCCUUCAGUGCCGCAGUUAACACAAUAAGUAAUCCACCUGGGGAGUACGACCGCAAGGUUGAAACUCAAAGGAAUUGACGGGGCCCGCACAAGCAGUGGAGUAUGUGGUUUAAUUCGACGCAACGCGAAGAACCUUACCAAGUCUUGACAUCCUGCGACGCACAUAGAAAUAUGUGUUUCCUUCGGGACGCAGAGACAGGUGGUGCAUGGUUGUCGU